AAAUUUAAAGAAUUUGGCGGUGUUUUAGUCUGGUUAGAGGAACCUGUGUUAUAAACGAUACAACACGCAUUAUCUUACUUAUUUUAGUAAACCAGUUUGUAUACCGUCAUUAUUAGAUAAUUUAUGAGAAAAUAUUAUUGGGGUCAUAUUAUUGAGUAUAUUAGAUCAAGGUGCAGCUUAUAGGUAAGUAAAUAUGGGUUACAAUAAAAUUUAUUUAUUAUGAAUUAGGUAUUUAAAUAUAUUUAUGAAGGAGGAUUUAAUUGUAAGAAAAAAAUAGUAAGAUUUUUUGAUAAAAGCUCUAAAUUAU
rnacentral:rRNA from 1 species